GUCACGAUAGCUUAAGUGGUUAGAGCACCGGCGUAAUGAGCCCGAAGUCGUGGGUUCGAAUCCCGCUCGUGACA